CCCAAUUACAGUGUCCUGUUUUGCAUCCUUUGCCCUUUUUUUUCUGCUCUCACUUGUUUUCCCUCCUUCUUUCCUAAAGGCCUUAUUGAGCCCUGAUAGGCUUGCUGGGGAUAAAACCUGGAGCUUGGGAGAGGAGAGCGACAUUUUGGAGCAAGAUGGCAAGAGGGACGGCGGCCACAUACCUGCAUGGAGUCCUUCUCCUGGCUCUGCUGAAACCUUCACUGCAAGGAGGUGUAUACAUACCAGCUGGUGGUGCUGCAGGAGGAGCUGGAACUGGUAUCGGAGCUGGUGCAGGACCUGGAACUGGAUUUGGACCAGGUGGGACUGGAACAGGUUUUGGCCCUGGAGGAGCUGGGACUGGAUUUCAGCCUGGUGGAGGAGUUGGACCAGGAGGUGCUGGCGGAGGUUUAGGAGGAUUUGGACCAGGAGCUGGUGGAGGUGGCUACGGUGGUCAAGGACCAGGAGGUGUCGGACCAGGAGGUGUCAGACCAGGAGGAGUCGGACCUGGAGGAGUCGUACCAGGAGGUGUCGGACCAGGAGGUGUCGGACCAGGAGGUGUUGGACCAGGUGGUGUCGGACCUGGAGGAGUCGUACCUGGAGGUGUCGGACCAGGAGGAGUUGGACCUGGAGGGUUCAGGCCCAGCACCUUUGGUCCAGGCAGUGGUGGACUUGGAGUUGUACCUGGAGGAGUUGGGGCUGGUGUAAAGCCGCCAAAAACAGGGGGUGGCUACGGCACUCGUGGGGCAGGACUGGGAGCUGGAGGUGUAGGAGGAGGACUGGGACCGGGCGGAGUAGGGUCAGGUGGUUUUGGACCAGGUGGUGUUGGACCUGGAGGCUAUGGAACCAGACCUGGAGGAGUUGGUCCCAGUGGUUUUGGACCAGGACACACUGGUCCUGGUGGUCAAGGGACAGGAUAUGGAGGCCUUGGAGCAGGGGGAGUGGGUGGAGGGACCCUUGGAGCAGGAGGCACUGGGACUGGUGGAGGUCUGGGAGCUGGAACAGGCGUCACCCCUGGGGGUGGAUAUGGAGGUGGUUAUGGACCAGGUGGUGUGAUUCAAUACCCAGGAACUGGUCCCAAACCUCCCAAAACAGGCGGUGUUGAAACAUCACUUGGAGGAACAGGUUAUGGGCCAGGUGGAGCAGGGUUUGGGCCUGGUGGAGCAGGGUUUGGGCCUGGUGGAGCAGGAUUUGGUCCAGGUGGUGCAGGAGUUGGGCCUGGUGGAGCAGGAUUUGGGCCUGGUGGAGCAGGAUUUGGGCCUGGUGGUGCAGGAGUUGGGCCAGGUGGAGCAGGAUUUGGGCCUGGUGGUGCAGGAGUUGGGCCAGGUGGAGCAGGAUUUGGGCCUGGUGGUGCAGGAGUUGGGCCAGGUGGAGCAGGAUUUGGGCCUGGUGGUGCAGGAGUUGGGCCAGGUGGAGCAGGAUUUGGGCCUGGUGGUGCAGGAGUUGGGCCAGGUGGAGCAGGAUUUGGGCCAGGUGGAGCAGGAGUGGGGCCUGGAGGUGCAGGAUUUGGGCCUGGUGGUGCAGGAUUUGGGCCUGGUGGUGCAGGAGUUGGGCCUGGUGGUGCAGGAGUUGGGCCAGGUGGAGUGAGUCCAGGUGGAGCUGCUGUGCCUGGUGGAGCUCCGCUGCUCCCACAGACUGGUACUACAGGGGGAGGACCAGGAGGAAAGAGUGGUGGAAAAGCAUCAAAACAAGUUCCAGGUAUUGGAGUGCCUGGACUCUAUCAAGGUGGAUUUGUACCAGGACAAGGUUUUGGAGGCCGUGGUGUUCUCCCUGGAGUGGCCACAGGAUCUGGACUUGGUCCUCAGACUGGGACCGGCGUACUCGGUCAGGGGGGUGUUGGAACAGGAGGAGCAGGCAAUGGCCGUGGACAGCAGCUGCCUGGGGUUUUUCGUGGAUACCCUCUCAUAUCACCAAAAUCAGGUGCAGGAAAAUCAAAGAAUCCAGCCAAAAUUGCAGCUAAAUAUGGUGGAGCUGGCAGACUUGGUCAGGGAGGAACUUUGGGUGGUGGGGCUGGAAGAGAAGGUGUAGGGGGUACCCCUGGAUUUGGAGGCGGAGUUGGAACAGGCGGUGGACCAGGAGCUGUACCUGGAUUUGGAGGCGGAGUUGGAACAGGCGGCGGGCCGGGAUUAGUACCUGGAUUUGGAGGCGGAGUUGGAACAGGCGGCGGGCCGGGAUCAGUACCUGGAUUUGGAGGCGGAGCAGGAACAGGAGGCGGGCCUGGUUUAGGUUAUGGACCUGGCUCAGCCAAAGCACGCAAAUAUGGCAGUGGAGGCACUGGAGUAGCUGGAGGCCUUGGAGCUGGUGUUGGUCUUGGCACAGCAGGAGGACCUGGUGGUUUUGGUCCAGGUGGUGCUGGCACUGGCGCAGCUGGAGGCCUGGGAGGCGGAAGACAGGGAGGAGGAGUUGGCCCUGGCACGGGUGUGGGACCUGGCUCUGGGGUUGGUUUUGGUCCAGGUGGUGCGGGCACUGGGCCAGGCGGUCUUGGCUACGGUCCUGGUGGUGCUGGCACUGGGCCAGGCGGUCUUGGCUAUGGUCCUGGUGGUGCUGGCCUUGGAACAGGAGGCACAGGAACAGGGCCCGGAGGAUAUGAUGCCAGUGCCAAAGCCCGUAAAUAUGGCAUGUUAAGUGGAGCACUUGGAGGUCCAGGAAUAGGUACUGGAGGAGUCAGGCCUGGUGGUGCUGGAACUGGCUAUGGACCAGGUGGAGUUGGACCAAGUGGAGUUGGACCAGGCGGAGUAGGACCAGGUGGAGUAGGACCCGGUGGUGCUGGCACUGGCUAUGGACCAGGUGGAGUUGGACCCGGUGGUGCUGGAACUGGCUAUGGACCAGGUGGAGUUGGACCCGGUGGUGCUGGAACUGGCUAUGGACCAGGUGGAGUUGGACCUGGUGGUACUGGCACUGGCUAUGGACCUGGAGGUUAUGCUGGUGCCAAAGCCCGUAAAUAUGGUCUUCCUGGAGGUGCUGGAGGUGCCCUGGGUGCAGGAGGACUUGGGGGUGGGGUUGGGCCUGGUACUGGGCUCGGAGUAGGAGGAGGGUUUCCUGGACGAGGUGUUGGAGUAACAACUGGUGGUGGACCUGGAGCAGGAGUAGGGGUGGCUGGGACACCUGGUUCUGGUAUUGGAACAGGAGGUGGACCAGGUGGCUUUGGACCAGGCGGUGCUGGAGGGCUACCUGGUGGUGGCGGAGCCCCUGGAUCUGGUCUAGAUGGAAGAUUUGGUGGCCCAGCAGCAGGUGGUUAUGGUCCAGGGACUGGAGGAGCACUAGGGACUGGAAGAGGAUAUGGACCUGGUGGAUAUGGGCCUGUGGCUGGGACUGGUUAUGGACCAGGUGGAGGUUAUGGUUUAGGACCAGGUGCUGGAUAUGGAACAGGUUAUGGAGCUGGAUCAAAACUUGCUAAAUAUGGUCCCGGUGGAGCAGGUGCUGGUGGGGUACUUGGAGGUGGACUAGGACGAGGAGGUGGCUAUGGAACAGGAGGCUAUGGAACUGGCAGUGGAGGCUAUGGUACAGCUGGAUCUAAAGCUGCUAAAUACGGGCAACCUGGUGGAGUUGUUCCCGGGACAGGAGCAGGGACUGGUGUUGGAGUGAAUGGCACCAGCACUUUAACUGGUGCACGGGCAACAGCUAGACCAAGUGGAGGACCUGGAGCUACAGGAGGCACAGCAGCUCCAGCAUCAGAAGGUGAUGGUGGUGCUGGCAGUGUGAUAGAGGGGUCUGGGAGUCCUGGAGGAGAAGGAGUUACUGGUGUAGCUGGCAGACCAGUAGGUGCAGGAGGUGAUAGAGAUGUCCUGGGUGGAACAGGGAUCCCCAUCAUUGGAGCAAAACCAGGACUCAAUGGGACCACAGUCCCAGGUUCCACAGGAGCUUCCCCUGUUGGUGGUGGGGCUGUACAACCAAGUGCUGGGACCGGAGUUGGUGGUACAAGAGUUCCCCCUGGAGGCUCUGGUGGUGAUGUCUCAAAUGGAGCAUUGCCUGGCGCCAAACCUCUCAAACCCCCAGGUGUCCCUCGAGGUGACACACCAGGUGAAGGAGAUGGAGAAGAUGGCCCCGAUGGAGAGAGAGGUGGUACAGGAGGCACAGGUGGAGGGCCAGGAGGAGUAGGAGGGGGACCUACCAGAGCAGGACCAGCAGGAGGUGUUUCUGGUGGUGCAACAGCAGUAGGAAGAGGAGACGGUCCUGCUACUGGAACUGGACUUGGAUCAGGAGGUGCAGCUGGUGGAGUAGGAGGAACACCAAAACCACCCAAAGAUGGGACUGUCGCAGGAGGUGUAAGCGCAGGACCUGGUGGAGCUGGUGGACUUGCAGGAGGAGUUGGGUCAGCUGGACGAGGUCCUGGAGGAGCAGGCCUGGUACCUGGGGCUGGUGGAGUAGGAACAGGAUUCGCAAAACCUGGAAAAAGCUAUGGUGCUUUUGGAGCUGGAGUUUCACCAGGCGGAGGCAUACGUUACCCAACAGGAGCUGGAGUAGGACAAGGAACAGGAAAACCAGGCAAAGCAUAUGGAACUCUCGGAGUAGGAGGACAGGGUGGGUUUGGACCUGGCGGAUAUGGAGCUGGUCCUGGUGGCUUUGGUACUGGUCCGGGAGGUUACGGAGUGGGACCCGGAGGUUACGGGGCUGGCCCAGGUGGUUAUGGAGCUGGACCUGGAGGCUAUGGAGGCACAACUGGAAGCAGAGGCAUCGGUGGUGGUCCUGGGGGUGUUGGGACUCUUGGAGUUGGAACUGGUCCAGGAGGUGUAGGUCCUGGCGGAGUUGGUGGCGGACUGGGUGGAUACGGUGGUGGUGUGGGGCCUGAUGGUUCUAGAUAUGGUACAGGUCCAGGACGGGGCACUGGGACUGGUGCUGGCAAACCACCAAAAAGUUAUGGAGCAGGAGCUGGUGGUACUGGUGUUGGACCUGGUGGCUAUGGCACUGGACCAGGUGGAGCUGGUUCUGGUCCAGGAGGUUUUGGACCAGGUGGCUUUGUGCCAGGCGGCCCUGGUGCUGGUACUUAUGGACCAGGUGGCACUGGUUCAGGUGGAUAUGGGGCCGGCACUGGAACUAGACCUGGUGGCUUUGGACCAGGUGGUGCCGGAACAGGAACAGGAGGCUUCGGAACAGGUGGUGCCGGAAUAGGAACAGGAGGCUUCGGACCAGGUGGUGUCGGAACAGGAACAGGAGCCUUCGGACCAGGUGGUGCCGGAACAGGAGGCUUCGGACCAGGUGGGGCUGGAACAGGAGGCUUCGGACCAGGUGGGGCUGGAACAGGAGGCUUCGGACCAGGUGGGGCUGGAACAGGAGGCUUUGGACCAGGUGGUGCCGGGGCUCAAGGACUGGGGACAAGAAAACCACCCAAAUCAGGUUAUGGAUCAUCCUCACUGGGUGGAGCUGGCUUUGGACCAGGUGCAGGAGUUGGACCUGGUGGAACAGGUACCGGACCUGGCAGAUAUGGGCCGGGUGGCUUCGGACCAGGUGGUACUGGCGUUGGAACGGGAGGCUUUGGACCAGGUGGUACUGGCGUAGGAACAGGAGGCUUUGGACCAGGGGGUGCUGGCACAGGAACAGGUGGCUUUGGACCAGGUGGUGCUGGAGUAGGAGGGUUUGGACCUGGUGGUGCUGGAACAGGAACAGGAUUUGGACCAGGAAGUCAAGGAUCAGGAAAAAGAAAACCGUCUAAAUCCGGUUAUGGAACUGGUUAUGGUUCAGGAAGCUUAGGAGGAGUUGCAGGAACUGGCACUGGUGGAGCUGGAGCUAGAACUGGCGGCUUUGGUCCAGGAGGAGCUGGAACAGGUGGCUUCGGUCCAGGAGGAGCUGGAACGGGUGGCUUCGGUCCAGGAACUGGCGGUUUCGGUCCAGGAGGAGCUGGGACUGGCGGUUUCGGUCCAGGAGGAGCUGGGCGUGGUGGCUUCGGUCCAGGAGGAGCUGGAACGGGUGGCUUCGGUCCAGGAGGAGCUGGAACGGGUGGCUUCGGUCCAGAAACUGGCGGUUUCGGUCCAGGAGGAGCUGGGACUGGCGGUUUCGGUCCAGGAGGAGCUGGGACUGGUGGCUUCGGUCCAGGAGGAGCUGGGACUGGCGGUUUCGGUCCAGGAGGAGCUGGGACUGGCGGUUUCGGUCCAGGAGGUGCUGGAACUGGCAGUUUCGGUCCAGGAGGUGCUGGUGGAUAUGGACCUGGUGGCCAAACAAGAAAGCCUCCUAAAUCAGGUUAUGGCUCAUCGUUAGGUGGCACUGGCUAUGGACCAGGUGGUGUAGCAGGAGGCCUUCCUAGUACUGGAACAGUAGGAAUCAGUGGAGGCGGUCCAGGUGGUGUAGGAGGGCAGGCAGGAGGCCCUGGAGGACCAGGCCAGGGAGUAGGAGGAGGACCAGGUGGCUUACCAGGGGGUGCUGGCCCUGGUUUUGGAGGGGUGGCUGGUGGAGGCUAUCCAGGAUUUGCAGGGGCUGGGCAAAAAUCCAAGGCACAGAAGGCAGCCAAAUAUGCAGCCCUGCAGGCCCUACUUGGAUCUGGGGGCUACAGAGGUGCUGGCUGUCAGGGUAAAUUCUGUGGCCGAAGGAGGAAGUGAGCCACCAACAGACAUGAAGUGACCUCAUCAAUACAACAGUGGUGCUAUUGCAUGAUCCCAAACUGUAAAUGUCUUAUCUGCCAUGGAAGCUAAAGCUUCAACACAUUCCAAGUGUUACAUUUUUAUUUGCUUAGAUGUUGUACAAGGCUUACUGAGUAAGAAAAAUGGUUCUCAACCUGUUAGAAUCCUGAUUCCUGAAAGCAAGAUGCUGCAGACUGCUAUGCAGAUUGGAGGAUUUGUCACUGUCACAUUGAUUUUUUGGGGGGAUAAUUUGCAAAUUUGGCUUUGGUCAGAUAUAAAGUAUUCACAGUUUCUCAAGAAAAAACACAAAUUAGAGUCUGAAUUUCAAGAAUUAAGUUUCAAGAGUGACAAUAGGCUUGUUUAAGAUGGGACAAACUUGCGCUGAAUUGAUCAACACAGAUUGCUGCAUAAUGGAUGCUAGUUAUAUUUCCAUAUUGAUUCCAACUUGUUUUGAUGUCAGAAUGACACAGGCAAUAACAGCAUCAUGAGAUCAUGACAGAAAACAUCUGGCUUUCACCUGCUCCAUUAGCUGAUUGGUUCUAAUGUCGAGUCUACAAUAUGAAAUUUGAUAAUGAUAAGUUACAAGAGCGUUCAUGUAAAAAUGGAGGCUGAACCAAGAACAGAGGUUACAGAUGCCCUGUCAUAAUUAAAACUAUUUAAUGAAUCAACUAGUUUCUGUAACUUCCUGCUUUGACUGAAAGCUGCUGGAAACUGUCUUGACUGCUGACUUUUAACACUACCCCGUGCUGUUGCUAUCUGUUCCUGACUUCUGUUAGAACCGCAGUUGAUCUCAAAUGAGUCUAUUAUUCCAUCAGCAACACAACAACCAGCAAACUGGACACAAUGGAAUUCUUCAAGCUCUAGUUCUAAUUUGUUAACAUUUCUUAUAGUCCUAAUAUUCCCCAAUGAAUCACUUUGUAAGUCUCUGGGGAUCUUGACUACCAGGCUGAGAACCACUAAAAUGAAGGAUCUGUAUUUCUUUUUAUCAGUGAGGCCAACCUGCUCUAUACUACAGUUAUUGUUUUCUAUUGCUGCGUUGAAUAUCAUUUGUGUUCCAAUGCAAGUAUCACCAUGAAACCUCUGGGUUGAGACUGAUACCAAGGACUCCCUCAGGGCAGCUCCUUCAGACCUGUCUGCAUGCUGACACAAGGUUUAUGAAAAACGUCUCCAAGGCAACAUUUUUGUCCAGUUAGACUGGGUCGUUCUUUUGUCUACAGAUUUUAAAAUGUGCUAAUUCACUGUUUUUAGCUUGUACAUCAGUAGACGCUCUUGUGUAAUCUAUCAGCAAUGUGUAAUGACCAAGAAACAGAUGGCUGCUGUUCUGUGGAAUGAUGAACAAAAGAGACACUCAGUGGAGUCUUCUGUGGUUUGGUGUUUUGACUGGUCAUUAUCUCAUCCUUAAAAAGCAGCCUCUGUUCAUGUCAACUGUACUCAGGCCUCAGUAGUAUCAACCGUGGAGGCCUAAAAGUAUUUUGCUAACACUGGUGAGAUUCUUCCACUCUGUUCACAACAUUAAAGACACUGUUUUAUAGCUACGUAACACUAAGUGGUAAUAGUGUAAAGUUUUGGUUAACCUCCAUUUUGCUUUCAUUGUUAGAAGGAGAUAUUUGUUAUGAUAUAAUGAUGUGGCUUAGUUUUAGCUUUUACAUUUGCUGUUGAGGAAAGCAUUCAAGCUAAAUGUGAGGUAAUAUGACAAGAAUACAUGAGGAGUACUGAUUACUGUUUUUUUUUUUCUUUUGAUGUACCUCCUUUAACACUGUUGAAAAUUUGUUCACGUUUACCAGACUUUUUAAAUUAUGCUGGAUAAUAGGGAUCUAUUUAGUCUUAUUUUACAAAUUCAAGAGCAUUAAUACAGUAUUAAAUAUUUCAGCUAGUUAUUUUGUGUGUGAGUGUUUCAACAGUUAUUAAACGUGUGUACUACUAUGAUGAUAGAAGUGCUUUGUUUUCUACAUUGUCCUUGAAUGUGUGUUGAAUCACAAUGUAGUCUGUGAGGUCAUUAGGAUAAAAAAGUAUAACUGAAUCUUAUCUUGCAUUUGAGCUUAUGUUUGUGUUUAUCAUGCGGCUCAACAUGUGUUUUUAAUGUAUUUUUUAUGUGGCCUAUGAAGAAAAUAAUGCAC
ensembl:lncRNA